GCAAACUUGGUCAUUUAGAGGAAGUAAAAGUCGUAACAAGGUCUCCGUAGGUGAACCUGCGGAGGGAUCAUUAUUGAAUGGUCUGUCUUAUGACCUUCAACCCUUUAAACCUGUGGAAGCAAAAUGUGCUUUGGCGCUCCGGCGCCACAUUAAUGCAAAAUAGUUUUGUGUCUGAAUCGUACAAAUUUUUAAAACUUUCAACAAAGGAUCUCUUGGCUCUCUAGAGGAAGUAAAAGUCGUAACAAGGUCUCCGUAGGUGAACCUGCGGAGGGAUCAUUAUUGAAUGGUCUGUCUUAUGACCUUCAACCCUUUAAACCUGUGGAAGCAAAAUGUGCUUUGGCGCUCCGGCGCCACAUUAAUGCAAAAUAGUUUUGUGUCUGAAUCGUACAAAUUUUUAAAACUUUCAACAAAGGAUCUCUUGGCUCUCGCAUCGAUGAAGAACGCAGC
rnacentral:misc_RNA from 1 species